rnacentral:tRNA from 1 species
UCCCAGGUGGCUCAGUGGUAAAGAAUCUGCCUGCAGUGCAGGAGACGCAGGUUUGAUCCCUGGGUUGGGAA